GUUGAGAGGAAUAUUGUCUGGCUCGAGGUCAUGAAGAAGAUCGGUAGAUUGAUUCAUUUUAAAGAGUGAAAUCCCUAAAUGAUUCUCGGACCAGGCUUCAUUCCCCCCAAC
rnacentral:pre_miRNA from 14 species